CCAAUAGCGUAUAUUAAAGUUGCUGCAGUUAAAAAGCUCGUAGUUGAAUUUCGGGACCAAUAUGUCGGUCGUGCCUCGGUACGUACUGGCAUCGUUGGUUUCUCCCUUCUGACGAACCAUGAUGUCAUUCCUUUGGUGUCGUGGGGAAUCAGGACUGGUACUUUGCAAAAAUAAGAGUGUUUAAAGUAGGGUCACGAUUGAAUACAUUAGCAUGGAAUAGUGAAAUAAGACGUUUGAUUCUAUUUUGUUGGUUUCUAGGAUUGACGUAAUGAUUAAUAGGGAUAGUUGGGGGCAUUAGUAUUCAAUUGUCAGAGGUGAAAUUCUUGGAUUUAUUGAAGACUAACUACUGCGAAAGCAUUUGCCAAGGAUGUUUUCAUUAAUCAAGAACGAAAGUUAGGGGAUCGAAGACGAUCAGAUACCGUCGUAGUCUUAACCAUAAACUAUGCCGACUAGGGAUCGGAUGAUGUUAAUUUUUUAAUGACUCAUUCGGCGCCUUACG
rnacentral:rRNA from 1 species